UUAAGCGACUAAGCGUACACGGUGGAUGCCCUGGCAGUCAGAGGCGAUGAAGGACGUGCUAAUCUGCGAUAAGCGUCGGUGAGGUGAUAUGAACCGUUAUAACCGGCGAUUUCCGAAUGGGGAAACCCAGUGUGUUUCGACACACUAUCAUUAACUGAAUCCAUAGGUUAAUGAGGCGAACCGGGGGAACUGAAACAUCUAAGUACCCCGAGGAAAAGAAAUCAACCGAGAUUCCCCCAGUAGCGGCGAGCGAACGGGGAGGAGCCCAGAGCCUGAAUCAGUGUGUGUGUUAGUGGAAGCGUCUGGAAAGGCGCGCGAUACAGGGUGACAGCCCCGUACACAAAAAUACACAUAUUGUGAGCUCGAUGAGUAGGGCGGGACACGUGGUAUCCUGUCUGAAUAUGGGGGGACCAUCCUCCAAGGCUAAAUACUCCUGACUGACCGAUAGUGAACCAGUACCGUGAGGGAAAGGCGAAAAGAACCCCGGCGAGGGGAGUGAAAAAGAACCUGAAACCGUGUACGUACAAGCAGUGGGAGCCUCUUUAUGGGGUGACUGCGUACCUUUUGUAUAAUGGGUCAGCGACUUAUAUUCUGUAGCAAGGUUAACCGAAUAGGGGAGCCGAAGGGAAACCGAGUCUUAACUGGGCGUUAAGUUGCAGGGUAUAGACCCGAAACCCGGUGAUCUAGCCAUGGGCAGGUUGAAGGUUGGGUAACACUAACUGGAGGACCGAACCGACUAAUGUUGAAAAAUUAGCGGAUGACUUGUGGCUGGGGGUGAAAGGCCAAUCAAACCGGGAGAUAGCUGGUUCUCCCCGAAAGCUAUUUAGGUAGCGCCUCGUGAAUUCAUCUCCGGGGGUAGAGCACUGUUUCGGCAAGGGGGUCAUCCCGACUUACCAACCCGAUGCAAACUGCGAAUACCGGAGAAUGUUAUCACGGGAGACACACGGCGGGUGCUAACGUCCGUCGUGAAGAGGGAAACAACCCAGACCGCCAGCUAAGGUCCCAAAGUCAUGGUUAAGUGGGAAACGAUGUGGGAAGGCCCAGACAGCCAGGAUGUUGGCUUAGAAGCAGCCAUCAUUUAAAGAAAGCGUAAUAGCUCACUGGUCGAGUCGGCCUGCGCGGAAGAUGUAACGGGGCUAAACCAUGCACCGAAGCUGCGGCAGCGACACUAUGUGUUGUUGGGUAGGGGAGCGUUCUGUAAGCCUGUGAAGGUGGCCUGUGAGGGUUGCUGGAGGUAUCAGAAGUGCGAAUGCUGACAUAAGUAACGAUAAAGCGGGUGAAAAGCCCGCUCGCCGGAAGACCAAGGGUUCCUGUCCAACGUUAAUCGGGGCAGGGUGAGUCGACCCCUAAGGCGAGGCCGAAAGGCGUAGUCGAUGGGAAACAGGUUAAUAUUCCUGUACUUGGUGUUACUGCGAAGGGGGGACGGAGAAGGCUAUGUUGGCCGGGCGACGGUUGUCCCGGUUUAAGCGUGUAGGCUGGUUUUCCAGGCAAAUCCGGAAAACCAAGGCUGAGGCGUGAUGACGAGGCACUACGGUGCUGAAGCGACAAAUGCCCUGCUUCCAGGAAAAGCCUCUAAGCAUCAGGUAACAUCAAAUCGUACCCCAAACCGACACAGGUGGUCAGGUAGAGAAUACCAAGGCGCUUGAGAGAACUCGGGUGAAGGAACUAGGCAAAAUGGUGCCGUAACUUCGGGAGAAGGCACGCUGAUAUGUAGGUGAAGCGACUUGCUCGUGGAGCUGAAAUCAGUCGAAGAUACCAGCUGGCUGCAACUGUUUAUUAAAAACACAGCACUGUGCAAACACGAAAGUGGACGUAUACGGUGUGACGCCUGCCCGGUGCCGGAAGGUUAAUUGAUGGGGUUAGCGGUAACGCGAAGCUCUUGAUCGAAGCCCCGGUAAACGGCGGCCGUAACUAUAACGGUCCUAAGGUAGCGAAAUUCCUUGUCGGGUAAGUUCCGACCUGCACGAAUGGCGUAAUGAUGGCCAGGCUGUCUCCACCCGAGACUCAGUGAAAUUGAACUCGCUGUGAAGAUGCAGUGUACCCGCGGCAAGACGGAAAGACCCCGUGAACCUUUACUAUAGCUUGACACUGAACAUUGAGCCUUGAUGUGUAGGAUAGGUGGGAGGCUUUGAAGUGUGGACGCCAGUCUGCAUGGAGCCGACCUUGAAAUACCACCCUUUAAUGUUUGAUGUUCUAACGUUGGCCCGUAAUCCGGGUUGCGGACAGUGUCUGGUGGGUAGUUUGACUGGGGCGGUCUCCUCCUAAAGAGUAACGGAGGAGCACGAAGGUUGGCUAAUCCUGGUCGGACAUCAGGAGGUUAGUGCAAUGGCAUAAGCCAGCUUGACUGCGAGCGUGACGGCGCGAGCAGGUGCGAAAGCAGGUCAUAGUGAUCCGGUGGUUCUGAAUGGAAGGGCCAUCGCUCAACGGAUAAAAGGUACUCCGGGGAUAACAGGCUGAUACCGCCCAAGAGUUCAUAUCGACGGCGGUGUUUGGCACCUCGAUGUCGGCUCAUCACAUCCUGGGGCUGAAGUAGGUCCCAAGGGUAUGGCUGUUCGCCAUUUAAAGUGGUACGCGAGCUGGGUUUAGAACGUCGUGAGACAGUUCGGUCCCUAUCUGCCGUGGGCGCUGGAGAACUGAGGGGGGCUGCUCCUAGUACGAGAGGACCGGAGUGGACGCAUCACUGGUGUUCGGGUUGUCAUGCCAAUGGCACUGCCCGGUAGCUAAAUGCGGAAGAGAUAAGUGCUGAAAGCAUCUAAGCACGAAACUUGCCCCGAGAUGAGUUCUCCCUGAGACUUAGAGUCUCCUGAAGGAACGUUGAAGACGACGACGUUGAUAGGCCGGGUGUGUAAGCGCAGCGAUGCGUUGAGCUAACCGGUACUAAUGAACCGUGAGGCUUAACCUU
rnacentral:rRNA from 7 species